UAUAAAUUAGUUUAAAGGAACAAUAAAAUUUGAAUUUGUAAGAGAUGGUGUAAAUCCAUUAUUUGUAA
rnacentral:tRNA from 1 species